UAUUCUCUCAGGCAGAAGGAUCCACUGCAAGCAUUCUGUCGAACUGUGCCAGAGAACUAAGCAAACAAAAAAAGAGGAAAAAUUAAAUCUUGCAGUGAAAUGCAGUAAGAUUGGAAAAUUCCAGCGAAGCAAAAGGAAAUGUGCCUAAUGUCAGAACCAGAUCUCAAUGCCAUUUUGCUUUAGUUGGGUUGCUGCUGUGCAAGAAGACGUGAAGUUGCAGGGAUCAGGAAGCUCUGGCUUAAUUUUGAUUCAACCUGUAUCUUCUAUGAAGUUGAUAAUUAUCUAUCCUGAUGCAGGGCUGCAGGAGAAAAACUCAUAUGAGCCAAAGCAUGAAGAACUAGUCUCCAUAGACUGUGCUAUACCAAGGAAUGAAUAUGUUUUCUUUCUCAUUUUCUGACAUUACAGUAUUGAAAACUAGCCUGAACAGCUGUCUAGCAACAUUAUUAACUCAUUAAUGAGAACAUUCAUUUCAAAAGCCUAAGAAAAUACCGAAAUAAGCAGUGCCUCACUUCCUCUCAUAAUCCACUCCUUUAUUCAACAGCAUCAGUCUUUUCUUUCGAACCCUUUCCCUUUUCCUUUGUCUAUUCCUAUUAGCCACUGUAUAUCUGUCGAAGUCAUUGUUUGCCAGCUGUAACUCUUGAACUUACUGCACCAUGGUUGACAUAUCUCUACAGAAUACUAAUGCAUGUUGUGUAGCUAGAAAAUUGGAGAAUGGAAAGUGCUCAUUUGACUGAAAAACAAGAACAAAACCAAAAACUGUUAUUACUACUAUUAUUAUUAAUUUUAUUUUUAUCACUAGCCUGUCAGCUACUGGUUUUCUCCCAGCUAGGAGCUGUCAUUAAGUCCCAAGGAGUUUUCAUGGAUAUUGCAAUUAUUCUCCUUUAUGAAAGGACCCAUUUUUUCCAUUAAAUUUUCCAGCAUACUGCUUUCUCUUUCCUUCCUUCCUCCCAGUACUGUAUUGACCAGACGGUUCAGUGUUCACUGGUACUUGCAGGCAAGGAGGCCAUGACCUCUGUAGCAUUCAGACCUGUACUUAAU
ensembl:lncRNA